UAUCAGUCUGUGGCGGUAAUUUGUUGUUAUUCCAUGUGUUAAUUUUUUUCGUUGUUUAACAAAUAUAACACAAAGAAAAAUGUGAUUAAUCCAUUUUUUUCAACACGUUGAUAAAAUGGCGGACUGUUACUCAGGACUUGAUACUUCACAAGUCGAUUAAGGUUUUCUACUCCAAUGUAGAAAGUAGUGACUGGGAUUUUUGCAAAUAUCUGUUUUGUGAAUUAAUAAGCGGUAACGAGUUCUUCAUUCCUUAAUUGGCUAUUAAAACGUCAGUCCGGAUGGCAUUAAAUAGGAGCGACUGACUCCCUGAUUGGGCGGAAAGCCUGCAACAGCAGAAAGCCAACACUUUUUGUUGGCUUCCUCCACGUCGUCUUACGUCAUAUAAAGUGGCCAAGAAGUUAGAGGGAACGGGAAACCAAGCCUGGUGAACCAAGAUAGCGUCUGUCAAGAUUUCCCAGUGUCCACCGACCUUGUAUCUGUACAAGUCAUCAACAUGGCACCCCCUGAUAAAAAGGACAGCACCAAACAAGCUAUCAUUCCAUAUACAACAGCUGUUAUAACAGUUGCUGGGGCCGAGGAUGAAGCUGAUUCCGGUGUCGCUUACUUUGUAGAUGAAGAUGGCAGGUACUACUACCAGCCCACGGUUGAGGGCCAAGAGUUUGUGAUGAACAACCAGACUACCAGCCAGGAUACUGAGCAGGGAACACAAGAAUCAGACACAAUGUUGACAGAUCAAGAAGCAGAGGGCUAUCAAACUGUGACCCUCGUCCCAUCGGAGACGAAUGGAGAAGUCAGCUAUGUGCUAGUCGUGCAAGAGGAGAAUAAAGCUAUGGUCAAUAUUGAUCUCAAGGUAGACCAGAGCGAGGCCGGUGAGAAAGGCAAUGACGAUGUGUACAACUUUGAGGAGGAAGAGGCGGGAGAAGAGGCUUCGGAGGAAGAAGAUGAUGUUCCUGAAGGAAGGCCCAAGCCACAGAAGAAGAACAAGCAUACUAGGUUGAACUUCCAGUGCAACUUCUGUUCCUAUACUAGUCAUCGACGGUACCUGCUCCUUCGUCACAUGAAGUCCCAUUCGGAUGAACGUCCUCACAAGUGCAUGGUGUGUGAACGCGGCUUCAAGACCAUGGCUUCCCUGCAGAACCAUGUGAACAUGCACAAUGGCGUCAAGCCGCAUGUUUGCAAGUACUGCAACAGUCCUUUUACUACUUCUGGGGAGCUGGUGCGUCACGUCCGUUACAAGCACACGCAUGAGAAGCCUCACAAAUGUACGGAAUGCGACUACGCCUCCGUCGAGCUGUCCAAGUUGCGUCGCCAUGUUCGCUGUCACACUGGCGAAAGACCUUACCAGUGCCCGCACUGCACGUAUGCAUCUCCCGACACGUUCAAGCUGAAACGUCAUCUGCGCACUCACACCGGCGAGAAGCCUUACAAGUGUGAAAACUGUAAUAUGUGCUUCACGCAGUCGAACUCUCUGAAAGCGCAUCGCCUGAUACACAACGUAUCGGACAAGCCAGUGUAUUCUUGCGAGCUGUGCCCGGCCAAGUGCGGCCGUAAGACGGAUUUGCGCAUCCACGUGCAGAAACUGCACACUUCGGACAAGCCGCUCCGGUGCCGCCGCUGCGGGAAAUCCUUCCCCGAUCGCUAUUCCUGCAAAGUGCACAAUAAGACCCACGAGGGCGAGAAAUGCUUCAAGUGUGAGAUCUGCCCGUACGCUUCGACGACUCUGCGUCACUUGAAGUCACACAUGCUGAAGCACACCGAUGAGAAGCCCUUCCUCUGUGAUCUCUGCGAUCAGUCCUUCAGGCAGAAGCAACUGCUCCGCCGUCACCAGAAUCUGUACCACAAUCCCGACUACGUGCCGAAGCCGCCCAAAGAGAAGAAUCAUACUUGCCACGAGUGCAAACGCAUGUUCGCGCACAAGGGUAACCUGAUCCGUCACUUGGCUGUCCACGACCCGGAGUCUGGGCACCAGGAGCAGGCCCUCGCCCUCAAGAUCGGGAGACAGAGGAAAGUCAAGUUCCUCGAUGCGGAGCCUAGUAGGGAUAUACGUGUGGUGGACCCGACCAAUGCAUCGGAGAUGAUGAAGCUCGGCCUCGCCAACAACGAGAUGAAGAGAGGCGAGCUGGUCACCGUGACGGACGGCGACGGACAGCAGUACGUCGUGCUGGAGGUCAUCCAACUGGAGGACGGCACCGAGCAGCAAGUGGCGGUUGUUGCACCUGAUUACAUGGAAGAGGAUGCGCAGGAAGAGGGUGAAGAAGAAGAGGAGGAGGAGGAAGAGGAGGAAGGGGACGCAGAAAUGAGCUACGGAGGUAAAAGCUCAGAGAAUGACAACAACAUCAAGCUCGAGAAGGAGGUCGAUAGCUGCUUCGGUUUUGAUGAGGAGGAAGAGGAACCGGAUGACGAUGAUUAUACUGAGAAAGUAGUAUUGCGUAUAGUUUAAGUUCUUUCAAUACGCUACGUUGGCACGGUGACCGGCGUUCCGCAGUUGCGCAAAUUGCGCAGACUGCGCAAAACUUUGCAAACAUUCACAUAGUUAUACACACAUUACUUUUACACAUCAAGCUCAUAUACAUUUAAGAUCAUAUACAAUAAAUUUAUUCUAUUCUUUGUAAAUUGUCGUGUGUUUAAAGAGGAGGCAAGAUGUCGUACUUAUAGAUCUUAUAUUAUAUUUUAUCAUUUUUUUUUGUUACAAAUUAAGCUGUUUUGAUUAAACCAAUGAUUAUGAAAUGAAAUUGUAUAUUUUGCAUGUUGAACAUUACAUCACUUUUACACGUCAUUUUAAGAACAAAAAAUUUGUAAAAUGAGUAGAUGAUUAAAUCUUUACCCAAUCAUGUGUAGUACGACAUACUCGCCUCUCCCGUUUUGAUGAUUAAUUAUGGAACAUAAAACAAACUCAUCAGAAUCAAACAAUACAAAUAUUCAUGAAUACUUACAUGUAUAAGAUAUUUUACACUCGAUUAGCGCUGUAGCGUGCCGACAUUUGGGAUACCGCGUCGAUUGUACCAAAUACUUAGAUCACAAUCGAAUGUAUUAGUUAUUAUUACGAUAUAAUAUAUUGAGGGCCAAACUGGAGUACGUAACUAGUUUUAACAAUAUUUAUUUUUAAUGUUUAUGUGAAUCUGCGAGGUAUGGUAUAUGGUUACGCUUCAAUGUGUUGUGAUGUUUAUUUUUAGAAACGAAGGUGCACAAACUGAUAUAAAUAUGGUAUCACAUAUUUAUUAUUUGUGUAUUUAUUUAUUACUCUGACGAAUUAUUCAUCUAAGUAUUCUAGAAUCAUCAAGUUAUACUAUGAAGUUCCCGUUCCACACGGUUUUACUCGUGUCCUGAGGGGUCUACUUCAUUUAUUUUACGCUAUCAUCGUACACGGUGAGCUUAAAAUCUUGCCUAUUACAAUUAACACAACUUACCAUGUUUGUGUACCUUCAAAAUCAGUGUAUCUAGCUUUGCACUCGUACUUACCACGCAAUCUACGUAGUUACGUACUCUCGUUGUCUCGUACGUGUACAGAAUUUACCUUUAAAUUAAAUAUUAUGCAUUCCGUUUUAAGACGGAAAUAAAAUGUGUAGCGAAGGACGCGAAGCUAGCGGCAUUUCUGAAAAGUUAAAAAUAUGUUGCACAGUUUAACUAUGCUACGGCGGUUAGUCAUAGUGUGUACCCUUACGGUGUUGUGUUGACCAAAUUGACGGUAAACUUGAUUUACAGUGUGUGAACCGGCUGAGCUGGUCAGAUCUCAUCUUCGACCGAAAUACUGUGGAUUUGUAUAGACUAUCUAUCCGUCGUUUUGCGAUUAGAGAUUGAAAUCUAACAUAUAGAUGUCAAUCGCCAAUCAACGAUAGAUUACUUAUACAAAUCCAUAGAUAGCUUACAGAAAUAGCCGCUAGCUUGUUAUCCUACGAUUGUUUACGCAUUAAAUGUCUGAGUAUGUAUAUAAACAAGUUACACAUAAACAGGAUAUACUUCCUGCACUUUUUGUAACAAGUAUAUAAUACUGACACAUUUAAUGCUUUCUCGUAAUUAUGAAGGAAACACGUUGCGUAGAUUAUAAUCUGUUUAUAAUCUGUAUCGAUUAAGUGUAUUGCAAUACAAUUAUAGUGAGCGUUUUUAAAAAUCAUCGUUAUAAAUAUAAAUUUAAUAAUUUACAGAAAUUGCACAUUUAUAUUCACGUUUGCAGCCGGUUGCUACAGAACUUCUUAUAAUAAUUAGAUGAUAAGUUUUUCUCUUAAUUAGAUUAAUCUAUACUUUUCACUUUAUCUGGUAGUAGUCAGCGAUUCAAAUGCUUUAACCAUAAAUCGCGACAUUAAGUGUACAUCUACAAUCUUUAUCUUAUGCGUGUCGCAUAUUUUAUGCAACACCAUGUUUUGAGGAGCCGGCUGUUAAACAUAUAAGUUACAAUCAAAGACCAAAAUACAUAUUUCGAAGGCGAUUUCCUUUUAAUUUAUGAAAAUAUAGAGUGUAAACUCUGCAGAAAUGUUUAAAUAACGUUAUUAGUUUUAACUUAAUUAUAGUGAUAGGUUACGUAAGAUGUAAUCAUAAAUAAUCUACCCUGUCGAUUAGAUUUGUUUUUUUUUUUUAUUAUAUGCAAGUUCCAACACGAUAUGCGUGUUUCAACGUUUUAUCGAUAUUUAUAACCAAUAAGCAUCUGUCAACUGUAUCAAUUAAUUGUACAUUUUUGUUUGCCUUCAAGUAAGAUUGAUGUGAUUACAAUUUGUGUGUACCAUAUUCUAGUGUAGCUACGUGCCGCAUUUGAAAGAGUUUUAUUAUUUAAAUUAAGUGAUCGUUGUAUAGUUGUUCGAUAAAAUGUAAAAAAAGUAUCUGGAUAAAUGGCACAUCGUAUCUUA